rnacentral:rRNA from 1 species
GACGAACGCUGGCGGCGUGCUUAACACAUGCAAGUCGAACGGAAAGGCCCUGCUUUUGUGGGGUGCUCGAGUGGCGAACGGGUGAGUAACACGUGAGUAACCUGCCCUUGACUUUGGGAUAACUUCAGGAAACUGGGGCUAAUACCGGAUAGGAGCUCCUGCUGCAUGGUGGGGGUUGGAAAGUUUCGGCGGUUGGGGAUGGACUCGCGGCUUAUCAGCUUGUUGGUGGGGUAGUUGCUUACCAAGGCUUUGACGGGUAGCCGGCCUGAGAGGGUGACCGGCCACAUUGCGACUGAGAUACGCACCAGAAUCCUACGGGAGGCAGCAGUGGGAAAUAUUGCACAAUGGGCGGAAGCCUGAUGCAGCAACGCCGCGUGCGGGAUGACGUCCUUCGGGUUGUAAACCGCUUUCGCCUGUGACGAAGCGUGAGUGACGGUAAUGAGUAAAGAAGCACCGGCUAACUACGUG